rnacentral:rRNA from 1 species
UACGAAGGGGGCUAGCGUUGCUCGGAAUCACUGGGCGUAAAGCGCACGUAGGCGGAUCGUUAAGUCAGGGGUGAAAUCCUGGAGCUCAACUCCAGAACUGGCCUUUGAUACUGGCGAUCUUGAGUUCGGGAGAGGUGAGUGGAACUGCGAGUGUAGAGGUGAAAUUCGUAGAUAUUCGCAAGAACACCAGUGGCGAAGGCGGCUCACUGGCCCGAUACUGGACGCUGAGGUGCGAAAGCGUGGGGAGCAAAGCAGGGAUUAAGAA